GACGAAGGAUGCAAGCGUUAUCCGGACUCAUUGGGUUUAAAGGGAGCGUAGGUGGCCUUAUAAGUCAGUGGUGAAAUCUCUGGGCUUAACCCAGAAAUUGCCAUUGAUACUGUAGGGCUUGAGUAUAGUUGCCGUUGGCGGAAUAUGACAUGUAGUGGUGAAAUACAUAGAGAUGUCAUAGAACACCGAUUGCGAAGGCAGCUGACGAAACUAUAACUGACACUGAGGCUCGAAAGUGCGGGGAUCAAACAGG
rnacentral:rRNA from 1 species